UACAGAGGGGGCAAGCGUUGUUCGGAAUUACUGGGCGUAAAGGGCGCGUAGGCGGCCUGUUAAGUCGGACGUGAAAUCCCUCGGCUCAACUGAGGAACUGCCUUUGAAACUGUCGUGCUUGAGGCCGGGAGGGGGUAGCGGAAUUCCCAGUGUAGCGGUGAAAUGCGUAGAUAUUGGGAGGAACACCAGUGGCGAAGGCGGCUACCUGGACCGGUUCUGACGCUGAUGCGCGAAAGCGUGGGUAGCAAACAGG
rnacentral:rRNA from 1 species